GACGAACGCUGGCGGCGUGCUUAACACAUGCAAGUCGAACGGUGAAGGGGUCUGCUUUUGUGGGCCCUGGAUGAGUGGCGAACGGGUGAGUAACACGUGAGUAACCUGCCCCCUUCUUCUGGAUAACCGCAUGAAAGUGUGGCUAAUACGGGAUAUUCUGGGUCUGUCGCAUGAUGGGUCUGGGAAAGAUUGCGCCUUUGGGUGUUUUUGGUGGGGGAUGGGCUCGCGGCCUAUCAGCUUGUUGGUGGGGUGAUGGCCUACCAAGGCGGUGACGGGUAGCCGGCAUGAGAGGGUGGACGGUCACACUGGGACUGAGACACGGCCCAGACUCGUACGGGAGGCAGCAGUGGGGAAUAUUGCACAAUGGGCGCAAGCCUGAUGCAGCGACGCCGCGUGAGGGAUGGAGGCCUUCGGGUUGUAAACCUCUUUCGCCAGUGAAGCAGGCCUGCUCCUUGUGGGUGGGUUGACGGUAGCUGGAUAAGAAGCGCCGGCUAACUACGCG
rnacentral:rRNA from 1 species